rnacentral:rRNA from 1 species
AUUGAACGCUGGCGGCAGGCCUAACACAUGCAAGUCGAGCGGAUGAGGAAAGCUUGCUUUUCGAUUCAGCGGCGGACGGGUGAGUAAUGCCUAGGAAUCUGCCUGUUAGUGGGGGAUAACUCGGGGAAACUCGGGCUAAUACCGCAUACGUCCUACGGGAGAAAGUGGGGGAUCUUCGGACCUCACGCUAACAGAUGAGCCUAGGUCGGAUUAGCUAGUAGGUGAGGUAAUGGCCCACCUAGGCGACGAUCCGUACCUGGUCUGAGAGGAUGAUCAGUCACACUGGAACUGGGACCCGGUCCAGACUCCUACGGGAGGCAGCAGUGGGGAAUAUUGGACAAUGGGCGGAAGCCUGAUCCAGCCAUGCCGCGUGUGUGAAGAAGGUCUUCGGAUUGUAAAGCACUUUAAGUUGGGAGGAAGGGUAUUCACCUAAUACGUGGGUACUUUGACGUUACCAACAGAAUAAGCACCGGCUAACUCUGUGCCAGCAGCCGCGGUAACAC